GUGUUUGUAAAUGAGACUGAGAAACGUACUUUGACCUCGUAACCUACUAUGCGCAAGAUCGAUAAAAACACAAGUUGUUUUCUAGCGUCUGUUAGUUGGAGAACAGACAUUGGUUACAUAACAUUUAAAGUUAGUUGGUAAACGUUGAUUGUUUGCUCAGCUAUGGCACUCUGGGCAAAGGUCCAGCAGCUACCACAGGAGUUUAUGAGUCAAGUACAGAGUGUCUACAGUCCAUACUUUCCUAUGGAAGUAAGGCAUUACUUUGCAGCGUGGAUUGAAGACCAGCCUUGGAAAGAUAUAGAUGACACAAACCCCCAACAUGAACAGGUUGCCAUCCGGUUAUUUGCUCAGCUGAUGGAGUUGAUAGAGGCCAAAACUAACGACAAUACCUUGGAGUUUCAUUUGAGACCGAGCCUUCAGAAAGUUGCCAUGCUGUUUAAAGAUGCUUACUGUAACCAGCCUAUGAAUCUUGUACGAGCUGUUCGCAACUGUUUGGCCAACGAGGAGAACCUGGUCAGAGCUUCAGAAACUUUAUCAUCUCCGAGCAUGACGUCGCAAGCACAGCUAGUUGAAAAGACGAAACAAGAAAUACAAGGAUGCAUGGAUCUUCUCGAUACAAGAACUAAUGAAUCAGGUCACGAUUUACGUCACAUGCAGCUUAUACAGGAGAAAUUUGUAAUCGAUCAUCAAAACCAAGCUAAAAUCUCUGCAAGCCUUGCACAUGUACAGCAGCAACCAACAAGCGCAAACCGUACUGAAAUGGAGACUGGAUUAAAACAGAAAAAAGAAGAAAUGGAUCGACAGCUUCUUGCUUCAGCUCAACAGAUUCUUCAGCAAAGACUUGCAUUAGCAAGAAAACAUAAAGACACAUUGGCAACAUUAGAAUCAAUAACGAAGCAAAUUGUUGUUGAUGAAUUAAUUGCAUGGAAGCAAAAGCAGAAGCUGUCUUACAAUGGUGCAUCAUUUGACACAACAAUGAUUGAUGUUCUUCAGAAAUGGUGUGAGUCAUUAGCAGAUCUUAUCUGGCGUAACAGAAUGCAGAUAAUCGAAGUAGACUUACUGCGACAACAGCUGCCUAUACCUAUACCUGUAGAUGCUUCUGAUGGUGUGACAGAUCUUCAACCGGAAUUGAACCGUACUGUUACCGCUCUUCUUGAACGCCUUGUCACCAAUGCGUUAAUAGUAGAACAUCAGCCACCUCAAGUGGUGAAGAAAGAAACGGGAUUUACAGCCACAGUUAGAUUGUUGGUUGGUGGGAAACUGAGUUUGCACCUAACUCCUCCCAGAGUUCAAGCGACGUUUAUCAGUGAACAACAAGCGAGAAAUGUAAUACAAAAUGGGGCUGUGAGACUAGAUCAGAAAUUCGGAGAUAUUUUGAACAAUGAAGGGAAGAUGGACUAUCAAAAGCACUCUGGACAGCUUAGUGUCACAUUUAGAAAUAUGUCGUUACAAAGUAUCAAACGAGCUGAUAAAAAGAAGACAGAAAGAGUAGCAGAGGAGAAGGGUUGUAUAUGUUUCUCUUCGAAUUUCAGUGUAGGUGGUAACGAGCUACAGUUUCAUGUCUGGACGCUGUCAUUGCCAGUGGUGGCUAUAGUACAUGUGAACCAGGAGUGCGCGGCAACAGCAACGUACGUCUGGGAUAAUCAGUUUUCAGAACAAGGAAGAAUACCUUUCCAAGUAUCAAACAGAGUACCGUGGUCUGGUGUGGCCAACAUGUUGUCGACAAAAUUCUGUGCAAUGACAGGACGAGGGCUUAGUGAGAGCAAUCUUAAAUAUCUCGGCAAUAAAUUGUUUGGAACAAGUGGUAUAGUGGAUUUCAGUAACGCUGUUGUUACCUGGGAAGAGUUUAGCAAGAAGCCUUUUCCAGGGAAAAAGUUUACAUUUUGGGAAUGGUUUUGGUCCAUAGCCAAGCUUGUGAAAGAACAUUUACAGGGACCAUGGACUGAUGGGUCAAUAAUAGGGUUCAUGGAUAAAACCGAGUCAAACGAGCUCUUGUUAUCCCGGCCUAUAGGGACAUUUUUGUUACGGUUCAGUGACGGUACGGAAGGAGCGCUCACUAUAGCCUAUGUGAAACAGCACCCGGACAAACCAGGUGAGAGCCAGGUAUGGAAUUUGGCACCACUAAGUGCCAAAGACUUUGCAUUACGUGGUUUAGCAGAUCGUAUCAAGGAUUUGACUACCUUAGUGGCGCUGUAUCCGGACACUCCAAAACACACCGCCUUCCAGAGCUACUUUUCUAAACCCGAUAUAGGUAGCUCACAGAAAGUGGAAAAUGGAGGCUACGUUAAAACUAAACUCAUAUUUGUUAUUGAUGAACAACCGUCUACACAGCCUCCGGGAGAGAUUGAUUUCAACAACCCACAGAACCCAGGUGCGUGCGCAGGACCUGUUUCUAGCCCUUCGUAUGCGAAUCAACCAGGGACACUAGAAGCGGAGGCAACGCAAAGCCAUUAUUCUAACUGGGGAUCACUCUGUGCACCAUGUACAAUGCCGUGUGAAUACAUCUGCGAAUGUCUUGACGUUAGAUUCUGGUACUUAAAACAUGUGUGGCUAUAGAGUUCUGCUCAGCCCAGGGCUAGAGGGCGUGGACGGCAACUCGCAACUCGUAUUUCCAAUACAGGCGAUGGACUGUCUAAUGGAUUUGGCAGAUCUGGAUUUUUCCGGGAUGCCAACUACAGAAAUCGACUUGGACACGAUCGACUUCAAUGAAAUUUUACAAUGACGCUAUGAAUGCAUGAACAACGGGCGCAUUUGAAAUCUGUAAACUUUGACUGAACACAAAGUACAAACAAGAUGGAUAAUCUACUAAUUCAGAAAAAUAUCGCUAAAAAUUGUCUUUAUGUUGAAAUUGCAAAUGUGCACAGUAUCCAUAUAUAGCGUUUAGGUAUUUUUUUUAACCAAUCUAAACUUUUUCUGGAAACAGCCUGUUCGGACCAUUGGCCCCAUCUAACGGUAUCCUUAUGGUAUAGCAUUAUAUAGUAAGAAAAGAAAAGGUAGGACACUUCCGAAACACCAAAUCUGAUUUGAAGCUAAUAUAGAACGUACGGUUCAAACGAUACACUUAAUUAAUUGAUAUUAUUGUAAUAAACCUGCGGCAUAAGUUUAACCUUUAUCACUACAGUAUUUUUAAAGAAAUCAGCGAUUUUCCACGAACUUCAGAUUUCUACAUCUUCCCUGCUUGUAUACAUCCGGUUUGCAACGGAGUGAAUUUGUAGUCCUUAUUGCGGUGGUCAAAAAUAAACCUUCGGUAUCGAAGGUAUAAAAUUUCGUGAAAAUAAAUCGAAAAAUUUAUAUUCUGUACCGGCUUGGCCCGAUAUAAUAAUGUUGUGGUCACGCUUAGCAGCGCUCCUUAGUUGUUCUAACUGAAUUGACAUUUUUGUUUAUUAUUGUUUGUCGCUAUUUUUUCAUUCAGUUCUAUUGAAGUAUAGUAGUCGCAACUUGUCCGCGAUGGUUGGCCUUAGACUGAUUAUUCAUAUCGAUUAUUUCAUUGUAGAAAUAUGGUGUGCUUAGGUUAGCCGUGUGUUUAAAUUAAUGAAUGCAAUGAGAUGAAGCGUUUUACGUACACUCCUUUUCAAUAAUAGGUUGUGCCUCAUUAUGUAUUAUAAUACAAAGGUCAACCAUCGGGGUCAAGUUGCGUCCACUAUAAUGAUGAUGAAAGUAUAUAGCCGAGGUAUAUCGAUUUUCCCGGUAUCUGUCAAACUAUACCUAUUAACCAAUGAAAUCGCAGAGGAUAUUCGCACCGUAGAUCCGGAAACAUCGGAGCAAAGCAAAUGUUGGACUCGAUUCAAAAUGUAAAACAUCGAUUUUAUAGCUAUAAUAGGAUUUAUUUGAACAUUUUUUGUGGUAAAUUUGUUAAAAUUAAUAUUUCCAACUAACGUUUAAAUUUUAUUCUAUUAAAAUCGAUCAUAUAAUAAUGAACAAGAGAAUAUGGGAAUUCGGAAGUGUCCUACCUUUCUUUUUUUCUUACUAUAUAAAUGCUAUACCAUAAGGAUGCGUUAGAUGGGGCCUGUGGUUCGGACCAGACUAAAGCUAAGGCCCUUUAAUUAGCCAAAAAUGACGAAAUAGAUAUGCCUCAGCUCCACUAAGUAUGGAAAAUUGUAACAAAUUUAUUUCUUCUUUUGACCUUUUGGCUGAAUCUUCACCGAACUUUGAAAAUAUAAUUCAUCCUUGCGUAGAUCUUACUCGAUCUUUUAAGGAUCUCCGCCACAGUAUGAGACCUUCAAAGUAACAUUUGAACCGCCUAGUAAACAACUUAUUUGUAAGGCUGUUACAGAUGAUUACUAAUAAACUUUGAUAAUGUGGCAGUUGAGUCCAAUAAGUCCAGGGGUGUUCAAAGAUAAAGCAAAUGUUGGAUUUACCUGUAUUGGAAAAUAAACAGUGUCGAUUGUAUUGAGGUCAACUGCCACAUUAUCAAAGUUUAUUAAUACCUACCAAUUAGACGAAAAAUGUAGAAUGCUGAGCUAUUUAAAGACUCACCACGACCUAGUGACCAACAUUUUUCACCCACAAAAACUUCAUGACAAUCAUUUUUAUAAUACAGGUAAUAUACAGCUAUACUACAAGUUUUAUGGUGGACAUUUUAGGCUCUCUUCAUGAAUAAAUGUGUUUUCACUACUUUAUCUUCAAACUUUUUCAGUCGAUCUUUUUUCAGCAUAGUUUUAAGAAUAUAUAUGAAUAACUGUCUUACACUGGAAAAAAAUUUGAUUAAAAUUUAACUAAAUACACUGAUUUAUGUACAUAUUGCUACAUUAAUUCAAUAAAAUGAUAAGACAUUAAACAAAUUGUCUUGGCCUAAUAUAUGUCACUGUCAGUUUGAAACUAAAUUCUUGAAAAUCUCAUAUUUUACAUACAAAUCAUGUUUAAUUACCAUCAUGGAAAUACAAAAGAAUACAUUUA